UUGAGGACUGGUCAAACAGCCUGAAAUUAGCUGAAAUGUACCUGAAAUUACCUGAAAUUAGAGUGUGCCCGCCCGAGCGAGUGAUGCCUAAAACAUGCAAACAAAACUGAAGACCAGGAACUGGAACCUGGGAACCUGGAAGAUGAUGUUGUCCUGAAGGACACAAUUCAGGCAGCAGCAUGGUGCCAGUUACAGUCUUUCAAGGACACCGUUUCUCUCCCAGAGGUCAUUGGGAUGGAAGGUUGGGAGCAGAUGGCAGCAUCAACACAGCGCAAAUCCCAUGACGGCGGGGAUGAGGAAGAAACGUGGAAACCAUUCCAAUUCUCAUUCAGAUUACAUACUGACUAUGAACUGUUCUGUGUGGAGAUGAUGGACAGGAGAAACCUGAAGGUGUUUGCCUCUUUUGAGUCAAACACCUCUCCCCGUCCCCCCUCCCCGUCCCCCUCCCCGUGACGCCUGCGCCACACGACUCCAAUGUAGU